CCCCAUUGAACUGAGGUGUUGGGCGGGGGGAAAGAAGGCUGAACGUUUUUUUGUGUGUGUCCUCGUAAUGAGUCCUGUUUUCUUGGUAGCUAGGAUCCCUUGUUACAAACACUUCUUGUUCAGAAUUAUAUUCUUUGGGUUUAUUGGAACAGGAAGUGCUGAAAAUGUCAAUCAUCAUCUCUGAAGAAAAAGGAGUUGCAAUGGCUUAAGAGUUUAAGAAGGGAGCUCAGAGAAGUACUUUCGGCAUAGGAAUGAACAGUAUUCUCAAAUUGCAGAAUACAGUUACUCUCCCUCAGAAGAGGGUUCUAUGUAACAGAAACAUAGAGGAAGCAUAGGUAUAGUUGAAGAGCCUUUUACGUAGUAAUUCUUCCAGGCCAUAACCAUACAAAUCUGAUCAUUUAGACAUGACACAUUUCUAUAUACAAAAAAAACAUGUAACUUUCAACCUUUUUUUUUUUUUUUACAAACAAGGUAUGAAACUCAUUGUUUCAACAGAUCCAUAUCUUUCAAACACUGAAUGAAUCAUUUCGACAUUCAUUUUUCUUUUGUGCAAUUUUUAAAAACAUUACCUGUACUCCUCAAAGUGAGUGCUUCAAAGUUUUUUUUCUUCAGCUUCUCAAAUUAGGUGUACAUUAAAAAAAAAAAAAUCCCACAAGGUAUAGUGCUACAAGAAAAGAUCCUAUCAGUAAGGUAACAUAUUUGAAGCGAGGUCAUCUAUGUAAAAGAAAUCUCAGCUCCGGAGUAGAGGUGUGCAAACAGUUUGGAGUUUCCCUAUCAACAGAAACACAACACUGUCCGUGGAAAAAAAAGAGGAAACCAACCCAACACAAUGGCAUAUGCAUGUGCUUUAUAAAAAAGUAUAUUCUCUGUAUAGUUAUUACUGGAUGUGUUCUUAAAAUUCUCUAUUUCAGAAAUUCUGGGUUGAAAACAAGGUGGAAGCAAAGACCUCCACUUCACUUUGAAAACCAAAAAGCAUAAUUCCCUUUGCUUUCACAUCACCCCGAAGAAGCUGGAUUGGGCCACAGAGACCGCUGGCCCUUUUUUCACCUGGGAUCAUCACGGGUGACUAGGAGAUAGGAAGUGCAAAGGGUUUUAGGAGAAAACAGACCAUGGUUUGUUGAGCUGCUUGCAGUUCAUGAAACAGUGGCCAUGACGACCAACACAGCUCAAAAAGCCUGGCCUUCAGUCCACAGAGCUCUGCUGCUUCACCCAGAUCUGAAAUAGCAUGGCAUUAGUGUCUUCAAAAGCAUUUGAGAUUCUUUUUCUCUAUGAAAUAGGUUUCCUUAGUAGUCACAGAUGUUAAAGGGUAUUAUCAAUUGUUUCCUUAAAAAAAACAAAAACAAAAAUCCCAAAGCUACACCACAACAAAAAUAAAUUUUGGCAACGUAUUUCAGUAAAGAUCAAACUAUGUGCAAAGAGUGGAUUUUAUGAUUACUAGGAGCUACUGUUCAUCUUGAACAUGCAGCAUUAUAUUGCAAUCUAUGCAGUAUCUAAGGAGAAAUCCACAAGAUGCAGGAAAUCCAAACAUUCCUCGAAGUUGUACAACCCUACUCCAGAACAGUCAAAGUGCUGCUUCUGGACACGUCAGUGUACCACACACACGCCAGCCCCGUCCCUGAGUUAGAGGUGUGAAAGGUUCCGCAGAGUUCCUUAGAGGGGAGAAGGAGGGGUGCUGCCACUUCCCGGUGGGGGACAAAACCCAACACACUCACCUAACAGAAAACACAAAGGGUCAUGAUUCAGAGUGAGAAAGGGGAUUGACGACAGCAAUGAAAAAAAAUAAAAUCAUCCCAAAACCGGGUGAGUUGGAAAAGACAAAAAAUUGACCAACAUAGAAAAUUAUCCUGAACGUCCAAAUGAGAAAGCAAUUUUGGAUUUCCACUUUAAAAGAUUUGAGGCCUGCUGUUAUUAGUUUCAAAAUGGAAAACGGGAAAGAAAGAAGAACGAAAGACGGGUUCAGUAAAUAUUGCAAAGUGGACACAGUACAGAGGCACAUGGCUGAUCCUCGUAAGCUGCACGGCACGGAAGGGUUUCUAUGCCUGUCAUUGUUAGGUCGGCUACGCAGGCGCAGUGGCAAAGGCUGCUCUGGGAGCCUUGGGGCUCGCCAAUGUCUGCAAACAAGAGGAGGCCCCUGUCCUCUGGAUGUUCUUCCUAUUUGAAGAGAGAGCUGCCACAAAGGAGUGGUGACCAUUGUUCGCAGGUGGCCCCCUCCGUAGCCACUGACCGGACGCUUGGAAGGCGCGCACACGGCGGGCCACGCUUCCUGACCACGCCCAGAGGCUCGGCUCGAAGUCUCAAGGACACAGACCUGCCCACUCGCGGAAAAGAUCGUGGAACAUGGGUUGAUCCUGGCACUAUUGCUCCAGAGUGCGCCUCAGAAAGGACGCUGUCUCCCUCCUGUCUGCACUGCACAUUCACUACUCCUCGUGGUGACGGGGGAAGUGCCGUUCUCCCCUUCCACCUCCUUUGCUUGCUCUUUCUGCAACAAGGCGACAGACAGGGCUCCCGAAAGCAAGCUCCCUGCCCCAGGAUUCAGCAUCCGCAGCAGGGCAAACGCGCAGCCGGAGGCCCUCCCCUUCCUGGCUCCUUCCUUCCAGCCCUUCUCUGGCCAGAACAGGAACGAGGGACCGAGUAAGGAAAAAGCCAAAAGGGUCUGAGCUUCCUCUAGAGCGCACCGAUCAGACUCUAUUGGCACGGAAAGUUUUGCACAUGCUAAAGAAGCAAGAAAGUGAAGUGGGACAAUGUUGAGAAAGAACCAAUUAUUUGAUAAUUCCUAUACCUGAAAUAGAAGCACAGAAACGAUGACGAUGUUCCUAUCGCUCCAAACCAUGUUAUGUUUUCCCAUUUUAGUGUUAGAGGUGUGGAUCCACUUAGUUCGAUACUCGAAAGAAGCCAAAAGGUGGUGGGUGUUUCUCUGAGUCCACAUGAGUUGCUGUAAUUAGUGGUGCUGAUGAGGACAAAGUCUAUAAUGGCAGCCCCAUAUUCCUCUUACCAUCGAAACAAAAAGAAAAACAAAGCCUAAUAAUUGCAAGUGCCCUGAGCAGAAUAUAUGGAAGAUUAAGCAAGUUCUCUGAA